UACGAAGGGGGCUAGCGUUGCUCGGAUUUACUGGGCGUAAAGGGCGCGUAGGCGGUUCGUACAGUCAGUCGUGAAAUUCCUGGGCUCAACCUGGGGGCUGCGUUUGAUACGUGCGGACUUGAGUGCGGAAGAGGGUCGUGGAAUUCCCAGUGUAGAGGUGAAAUUCGUAGAUAUUGGGAAGAACACCGGUGGCGAAGGCGGCGACCUGGUCCGAUACUGACGCUGAGGCGCGAAAGCGUGGGGAGCAAACAGG
rnacentral:rRNA from 1 species